CAGAUAUCGAAAAUUCUUUUAUUUUCCAUGGUAGAGAACCUCCGCAGCUUUUAUAGACGGUAUAAAACGCCCUGCUGUAGUUUGCUCGUUCUAAAAGCGGUGAAGGUGUGAAAGGGU